rnacentral:lncRNA from 1 species
AGAUGAAAUGUAAUUUUCACAUAAGCGUUUAUACUUUGGUUUUCUUGUUGUUUAAUAUUCAAUAGAUACAUAUGAUCAAUGAAAUCAGCCAUAGAUGUAGAUUAAGUGAACACAAUUCAUUUUCGAGUAUACCAUUCUAUUUAAUAAUUUUACUAAUACUUGUUAUACCAUCUAGUUUGCUCAAUAUUAUUUUUAUUCUAUGUUAUAAAAGACCAUUAAUUUCCAUAUCCUUGUCCGUCUGUAUAACCAUCACCAUCAUUGUCACUACCACCACAACCACCACCAACUCCAUUGUCUAUUUUACAUAUUUCAACUCUUAUCACAGCUUCACCGACACCACCGUACUCACCUCCAUCGAUACUACAAUAACCAUC